rnacentral:rRNA from 1 species
CGAGGCGAACCGGGGAAACUGAAACAUCUCAGUACCCCGAGGAAAAGAAAUCAACCGAGAUUCCCCAGUAGCGGCGAGCGAACGGGGAGCAGCCCAGAGUCAACAUCAAUAUUUACCACAGGAGAAGGGUCUGGAAAGGCCGGCAAUAAAGGGUGAUAGCCCCGUAUCUAAAGCGGUAAGUGUUGUGAACUCGAAGAGUAGGGCGGGACACGUGUUAUCCUGUCUGAAUAUGGGGGGACCAUCCUCCAAGGCUAAAUACUCCUGACUGACCGAUAGUGAACCAGUACCGUGAGGGAAAGGCGAAAAGAACCCCGGCGAGGGGAGUGAAAUAGAACCUAAAACCGUGUACGUACAAGCAGUAGGAGCACCCGAAAGGGUGUGACUGCGUACCUUUUGUAUAAUGGGUCAGCGACUUAUAUUCUGUAGCAAGGUUAACCGCAUAAGGGAGCCGUAGGGAAACCGAGUCUUAACUGGGCGUUAAGUUGCAGGGUAUAGACCCGAAAUCCGGUGAUCUAGCCAUAAGCAGGUUGAAG